rnacentral:rRNA from 1 species
UACCUGGUUGAUCCUGCCAGUAGUCAUAUGCUUGUCUCAAAGAUUAAGCCAUGCAUGUCUCAGUAUAAGACUUUACAUGUCGAAACUGCGAAUGGCUCAUUAAAACAGUUAUAGUUUAUUUGAUGGUCACUCGUUAUAUGGAUAACUGUGGUAAUUCUAGAGCUAAUACAUGCAUAAAAACCCGACUUCAAGGAAGGGUUGUAUUUAUUAGAUACAGAACCAAUCCGGUUUUCCGGUUGUUGGAUGACUCAUAAUAAAUGAACGGAGCGUAUGGCUUGUGCCGACGCUGUAUCAUUCAAGUUUCUGACCUAUCAGCUUUCGAUGGUAGGGUAUUGGCCUACCAUGGCAUUGACGGGUAACGGAGAAUUAGGGUUCGAUUCCGGAGAGGGAGCCUGAGAAACGGCUACCACUUCUAAGGAAGGCAGCAGGCGCGCAAAUUACCCAAUUCUGACUCAGGGAGGUAGUGACAAGAAAUAACAAUAAACCGGCUUAUGCCGGUUUAAUUGGAAUGAGUACAAUUUAAACAUCUUAACGAGGAACAAUUGGAGGGCAAGUCUGGUGCCAGCAGCCGCGGUAUUCCAGCUCCAAUAGCGUAUACUAAAGUUUGUUUGCAGUUAAAAAGCUCGUAGUUGGAUUUCUGUGGGUGACGGAGCGGUCCGGCCGCACAUCGCGGUUCGAGCUAGCGCUUUCCCUACAUCCUGCCGCGAACCGUGCUACCAUUAGUUUGGUGGCGCCGGGGAUCGGCUCGAUUACUUUGAGAAAAAUAGAGUGUUCAAAGCAGGCCACAUGCCUUGAAUAAGUUAGCAUGGAAUAAUAACUAAGGACUUCGGUUCUAUUUUGUUGGUGUUCGGGACUGAAGUAAUGAUUGAUAGGGACAGUUGGGGCGGUCUGUAUUCCAAAGCGAGAGGUGAAAUUCUUAGACCUUCGGAAGACAAACAGCUGCGAAAGCGUUCCGCAAGGAUGUUCCCUUUGAUCAAGAACGAAAGUUGGGGGAUCGAAGACGAUCAGAUACCGUCGUAGUCUCAACUAUAAACUAUACCAGCUAGGGAUCGGCCAACGUUAUUUCAAACCGACUUGGUCGGCACCUUAUGAAAAAUCAAAGCAUCUGGGUUCCGGGGGGAGUAUGGUCGCAAGGCUGAAACUUAAAGGAAUUGACGGAAGGGCACCACCAGCCGUGGAGCCUGUGGCUUUAAUUUGACUCAACACGGGAAAACUUACCAGGUCCAGACAUAGUAAGGAUUGACAGAUUGAUAGCUCUUUCUUGAUUCUGUGGGUGGUGGUGCAUGGCCGUUCUUAGUUGGUGGAGUGAUUUGUCUGGUUAAUUCCGUUAACGAACGAGACCCCAGCCUGCUAAAUAGCGCGCGUGAGCUUUGCUCGCGGCGAGCUUCUUAGAGGGACUAUGAUGCGCGAUAGCACAUGGAAGUUUGGGGCAAUAACAGGUCUGUGAUGCCCUUAGAUGUUCUGGGCCGCACACGGGCUACACUGGCGCCUGCAACGAGCAUAUCAGCUGGUCCGAGAGGAUCUUGGCUAAUCUUUUGAACCGGCGCCGUGCUUGGGAUUGACCUUUGCAAUUGUUGGUCAUGCAACGAGGAAUGCCUUGUAAACGCGAGUCAUCAGCUCGCAUUGAAUACGUCCCUGCCCUUUGUACACACCGCCCGUCGCUCCUACCGAUGAAUGUUCCGAUGAAAUUUUCGGAGAGUGCCUGUGAACUUGGCUCUGCCUUGCGAACGGGAAGCUCAAAGUCACUUAAAUCUGAACAUUUCGAGGAAGGAGAAGUCGUAACAAGGUUUCCGUAGGUGAACCUGCAGAAGGAUC